GGAGCCCCUCCUCUGCCUCUAGGCCAACCUGCCCCAGAGGACAGGCCACCUCUGCACGACUGUCCUUGAGACCUGAUAUUCCACACGGUGGCAGCCUGGUCCAGCAUGAUCCUCCUGAUUUCUACCUUGAAUCCUUCCUGCAAAUCCAGUGAAAUCCUUCAGGUUUCCAGGAGGUAUUCGUGAUAUCAAGGAUCGCCUUUACUGGCCUCGGAUAGCCUGGCACCUGGCCCUGCACAGGCCACAGCUGAGCUGUGGUCCAGGCGUUCCACAAAUACUGAGGUCCCUGCAUUCACAGGCAUUUCUAGAGCGCAGACUUGGUACUUGGAGCACGCAAGGAGCUGGCAAAUGAGGCAUGGUGCUGGUGUCUGGGAAUUCUCCAAGGACUAUGGCAUCCCGAAGCUCCCAAACCAGUGAGGGAGCUGACGAGCAGGCCGGCAAUGACCUCACAGAGACCACUGCAGAGUGGGCGCCAGGGAAGUCCUCCCCCUGAACCCCCUCUCCCGUUGCCAUUUACAGAGGUCACGGGGCAAGUAAGUGUGGGAUCGGCGACCCCUCCUCGGUUCUCAGCUUCCCAGGCCCUGAUCUGACUCUGACCAGCCUGGUCCCUGCAGGAGGAAGGGGCUCACGGCCUGGGGGUGACUGCUCCAGGGGCUGGCUCUUCUCCCAGGACGUGGGGACAGCGCACCUUGCCUCCCAGGCUCCGCGAGGAAGGAGGGGAUGCUGCUUCCCCUCUUCCCCACAGGCAGGUGCAGCCCUGGGAAGGGCUUUGGAGGAGCAGCCGCACAGAGACCCCCUCCUACCCCUCCUGGGCUCCUUCCUCCUCCCGCCAGCAUCCCGCCCGCCCCCUCCUCAUCUUUCACCCCUCCAGUCUCCCCGCUCCCCUACUCCGUUACCUUUCCCCUCCCUCCUGGUGUCUCCCCCCUUUCAUCUUCUCUCUUCCUCCUCCUCCUCCUUCAGCUUUGCUCCUUGGAGCUAAUUGCUUGAGGGGUGAAGACCAGGUCGACUCCUGAACACUCGGAUCCAUCGCCAUGGUGAUGCUAAUUCAAGCUGAGUUCAAAGGAAAUUGUUCCAGUUAAAACUAACAAGCUGGAGCUGGGGCCCCAGGAAGGACCAGUGCCAGGAGGAGGGAGCCCUGAGCCCCAAGCCCCAGAAAAAUAGGAAAAACACACCCCUUGCGGCUUCCUCCCUCACAUUCACUCCUUCUGGGUCCUGCGGCCUCCAGACCUGCCCGAGUCCUGGAACACCUGAGGGGUCACUGCAGGCAGCUCCCCGCCUCAGGCCCGAGCCCCAGCCACCUGGAAAGCCCUCCCAUAAAGUCCUUACACAACCUCCCUCAGCCUGUGGUUCUGGGCUUUGACCACCCUUGCCGGCCUGCCUAGAGAGUUCCUACCCAAGCACACAGGCCCCUCCCCCUGCUUCCCAACAAGCAAGGUGUGGACCGGACCUGGAUUAACCAGUCCUCUGGAGGCACCAGCUCUGGGCUGCGGCUGCUCUAACACUCGGUGUCUCUAAACCCACGACCCACCGGCUGCCGGUGGUAUCGUCACCCCUACUUUUUGGGUGUCUGGGGAUGAGAAAGUUCACAGGGGGAGAACCACCCAGAACUCCAUCUGAGCUAGGCCAGGCCUGCCGGUUUAGGGAAUGCCACCAGAGGCCUUGUACUGGGGGUGAUGUCAAAACAUAAAAGGGGAACCCUCGGUUCUGAAGUGCCACUGAAUAGCCCUCUGGGCUUUCACGCAGUCCUCCUCCUGGGCCCCCAAAGCACCAUGCCUGCACCUCCUUCCCUGCCAGCCCAUGUCUGUUCCUCCCUCUCCUGGUCUGGGGCCCGCUCCCGUUUCUUCUUCAAGGACGGGAAGCAUAUCUUGUUUGUCUGUCUGUCGUACAGGAUUGGCCCAGAGCGGGGGGCUGGCUGUCAUCUCCCUGUGGGAAUGCUGACUUGGAUACCCAGGCUCUCAGGAGGGGGGUGUGAGUUGAGGUCCCCCAGAUGAAGGGGACUCAAGCCUCCUGGCCUGGAGCUCAGUCUCACAGAGGCCAACUGAAGGCCUGCAGGAGGAGCCUUUCCUGGAGGACUUUGCGGUUCUAGGCCAUGGGCAGAGGCCAACACCAGAAUCCUGCCCCUGGCAAUGCUCACCUCUCUACCCUGAUCUUCGGGAAGACCUCACUCCCUUGCUCAAGCCUCAGGUGUUUUUCUUUACCCUGGAGUAUCUAGUGAUCCUUCCAUGUACCAAAGAGAUCCUUGUUGACCAGAAAAAAAAAUUUUUUUUAAGA